AUUAGGUUUAGGAGACCAAAAAACUCUAUAUAAACAUCUAACUCCUAUGUAUUUCAGUUUAGGAGAUCAAACUCUAUAAAAAAUUUCCAGCAGAGUUUUACUUCAAACGCUCGGGUGUGUUGUGUGAGUGUGUUUCUUUGAGAGCUUAUGCUACAUCAAAGUAACCCAGUAAAAGCGCAAGGAAUUAAAUUUGGCCCCUUUACUCUUUCCCUCUUUCACCUCUUACCAUACACACCCUAUGGUCACAAUUUACUACUCAACUCAACUCAACUUA
rnacentral:misc_RNA from 1 species